UUAAUACUACCUCCGUCCGAAAAUACUUGUCGUAGAGAUGAAUGUAUCUAGACUUAUUUUAAUUGUAGAUACAUCCAUUAUAUGCAUUUUUAGGACAAGUAUUUCCGGACGGAGGGAGUAUAUG
rnacentral:pre_miRNA from 1 species